rnacentral:rRNA from 1 species
UACGUAGGGGGCAAGCGUUGUCCGGAUUUAUUGGGCGUAAAGAGCGUGUAGGCGGCCAUACAGGUCAGCUGUGAAAACUCGAGGCUCAACCUCGAGACGUCGGUUGAAACCGUAUGGCUAGAGUCCGGAAGAGGAGAGUGGAAUUCCCGGUGUAGCGGUGAAAUGCGCAGAUAUCGGGAAGAACACCCGUGGCGAAGGCGGCUCUCUGGGACGGUACUGACGCUGAUGCGCGAAAGCGUGGGGAGCGAAUCCGG